AUGCGUACAAUCGACUUCUUGUAGCUUAUAGAGGGCAGCAAAUUUUGUCUUAAGUCGAAAAAUAUUUGCUUACGCAUGCGUAAAAGCCAUUUUUGUGAUUUCAACCGGAAGUGAACUGUCAAAGGUUACGAGAGAUACAGUAAACAAACCAUGUGAGAAACUCGCCAUGCUGGAUGUUCGCUAGUGAAGAUUUUAUCGUUAUUCUUUCUUAUCUUACUGUUUUAUAUGGAUGGUAAGACGUCUACCAUCACUGUCAGUUUAAUUUGGAUGAACUACAUACAGCUGUGAAAAGUUUUUAUUAAAGCAUUACAGGACUUUUACGAUUGAGAGGGCUGGCAGAGAGAAGAGGCGGCCAACAACGAGCAAGGCUAUAAUAGAGAAUGGCCUGGCCUAGCCUAGUCUAGUAGAGUGGUCUAGCUAUGCUAGAGCCUCAGCGAGAAAGCUUAGUUUGGCCUACUAGCUAGGCUAGGGGGCCUAGGCUAAUAUAGACCAUAAAAUCAGACGAGGUAACCGAAACAUCUAAGCCUACGACAACUACUAAUUUUUAAAAUGCCAAUUGUUGUUUUUGACUUGAGAGAGAUUUCCAGAAAUUUACCCAUGAUGUGUCUACAGUGCAGCAAAAUGGAUUAAAUUGCAGCAAAACCAGGUUGUAAAAUGCAGUGGGCAAAGCUGAACUACUAUAAGUUCAGUACCUGUAAUAGCCAAUUCAUAGAGCAUUAUAGAAGCUUUCAGACCUACUGCAGAAUUCAAAACCAACACCUCAGACCCAGGGGCUAGUGACGUCCUCUUCCGCCAGCUUCAAGGAUUCAACCAUAUUUAAGUAUUCGAAGGAGCUCACUAUCGAAUAAUUAUUUGUUUAUACCUUUCGAAUUCAAAGCGCUGACGACAUCCGAAAAAAAUGCUUAUGAUACCAAUAAUAUUUGCAUGGUGUAAAGUAAUAAUAUACAUUUUAUAUAUUAGCUAAAUCACAAGAUUAAUUUCUCACAUUAAAUAUAUAUUGCUCUUUGCUGUGUAAAAGCACAUAUGCAGUAGAUCUAUAUUUAUUGUUGUGCCAAGUGUCUCAUGAAAUCUUCUCAUAUUCAUUCCAAAAGCAAUAAGGUACCAAGUAUCAGUACAAUAGAUAUAAAAUUGUGAAGAAAAGUGUAAUAAACACUAAUGAUUGUAAUAAUGAA